rnacentral:lncRNA from 1 species
AGUUGACAAGGAGUAACGAAUUAUUCUAAAUAAUAAAGAGCAUUUAAUGAGACGUUAGAUAAUCAUUGCUAUUAAAUACUGAAUAACUAACGUAUCAAGUAUUUAAUAAAGAAAAUAGACUACUUUUUGUCAUCAGAUUCGUGUCUUAUAUGCCCUUUUUAUCCGUUGAUAUUGAAUUCCUUGGAUAGAUACGAGAAUUGUAUCUAAGAUUCUCUCUCGUGACUGUUUUCUUCUUCCACCGUGUCUGUUGUCUCCCGUAUCUUUUAAUCAUUUAUUUCUCUUUGGCUGUUUGACUAACUCACGUGUUAUGCCACGUCACCUUUAAUAAAAACUCAAUUUUUUUCCAAUACAGAUAGUCCCCCCACUUUUCAUUUAUUUAUCAAUUAAAUAAUUGGGAAGUGGAUCCUGAAAAAGAAUUUUUGCCACAAUUAAGGCUUGUGCCAGUAUCGACGUCUUUUCUGUCUUUCUCAUUUAAUACCAUGUACAAGAUUCAUAUGUUGGAGAGUUCUCGUGUCAACCUUCAAUCUUCCCUUGAUUUUCACUUAGCUGAACAUGAAACAAUGAAGAACACCUUAGCUACGUGGGGAAGGGAUUAUGAAAACCUGGAGAAGGUGAUUUUCACUUAGCUGAACAUGAAACAAUGAAGAACACUUUAGCUACGUAGGGAAAAGAUUAUGAAAACCUGAAGAAGGAUUACAAUUCCUUGGCUGAGAAUUUUAACUAUGAGGUCAACAUGGCCUUCUUGAAAUCUCGCCGUGAUACUUAAAUGGAGGCUUCUCAGGAAAAAUUUUGACUUGAAAUCUAAGUUAGCUAAAGUUUUAGACUUUAUUGAGAAAUGAACAGCCAACCGAAACUCCUUCUCCUAAUCAGGUAAUUGACAUCUCUCUCCAACAGUGGAAGCUCCCGGGGUUUAAGAGCCUUUGAACUUAGAAGCAACAACUGAAGUUACUGAAGUUACAAUUCCAGUAGACGAGGNNN